AACUGCCACCGAAGCAGUUCAUUCUUUGCGGCAAUUUAUGUCUCCAAUUAGAGGCAUAUUGCAUAUGGAAGGGGAUCUUCGAGGAAAUCUUGCUAAACCAGAAUGUGAUGUACAAGUAAGGCUCCUAGAUGGUGCCAUUGGGGGUAUUGAACUUGGUCGAGCUGAAAUUGUUGCUUCACUAACUCCAACCAGCCGUUUCCUGUUCAAUGCAAAAUUUGAACCAAUCAUCCGAAAUGGUCAUGUACACAUUCAAGGAAGUGUUCCUCUGACCUUUGUCCAAAAUAAUGUUUUGGAGGAAGAUAAUUCAGAAAGGGACAAAAG
rnacentral:misc_RNA from 1 species